AGAGCUUGCUUCGCUGGCUGUCCAUUGAUCAGUGAAGAGGUUGGUAGACUUAAAAGAUCCGUGUAGAGACUGGUGGAGAGCAGAGAGAGAGGGAAGGAUACAGCGAGCAGAGACAGAGAGAAACAGCCAAGGAGAGCUGCACAGGGGGAACACCUCGAGAGCGAGAGAGAGAUAGAUAGGAAGGAGAAGAAGAAAGUGAGUGAAGAGGUAGAGAUGAGGAGGAGAAGAAGACUAACAGAGGCAGAUGACUGCGUCUGAGCGGAGGGGAGGGGUGGUGGUGGGGGUUGCCCCGGGCUUUAACAGUCUGGAUGGAGCUCAUAGGGCUCCUGUCAGACUGUCAAACAGAAGAGUCGAAUCUCCGGGGAAAAGGAGGCGCAAAGUCUUCCUGUGUCCAUCUGUGGCAGUCAAGAUGGACGCUGACAACCAGCCUGAGCGGGCUCAGUCGGCCAUCUUGUUUUCAGCGUGGGUGCAAAGGGACUGUGUGCUGCUUAAGAAGCAAAAAAAGAGCGAGACAAAGAAGGAACUUUAACUCUUUUCCCACAUGUACCUGAACCAGGUUAAACCAUUGUUCUUUCGGUCUGUGUGUCCCUUUCAGACAGAGCAACCCUUGUAGCCAAAUGCUAACAUACAUUCAAUAUUUAAAAUACAGAUGUAGCUGCUGUGAUGUCAUUCACUGGUUUGUGAAACCCCUUUUCGAAGGUUCAACUUGCUGUCACCAUUUCAUUUUUUUGUACCUAGCAGUAAUGACAAUAAAAUGAGAAGAUGGAGUGCUAAGUUAGCAAAAUAUAUCUAUAAAACUACUAAUCAGUACUAAGUAACAGACUAAUAAAGAGCUAGAAUUUCACCCACCAACACUAGAGCCAGCUUCGUGGAUGGCCUGUUAGCAGAAUUUAACAAUAUAUGAAAGAACAUCAAAGGCCCAAACAGGUUAAGAGGCCCAGUUUUGAUGCAGAUUAACUAAAGUGAAGCCUAGCAUACAACUAGCAGCUACAGCUACAUGUAGCUAUUAAUUUCUGCUCUACAGCUGGAUAUUUUAAAAUGGAAGUCAACAGGAACUGACCACAGACAGUCUAAAUAUAAAGAGCUUCUGAAUCAGAAGAAUUAAGGCAAUGUGGAAGUGCCUAAACCAGUGUCAUAUCUGAAAGCCACAACAUGGCGAUAGCUGUAGCUACAAAAAGACUUCCAGUCUUAUAGAAGUCUAUGGGAAAACGUCUUUCUGAUGUGACCUCUAAACACUUUCAUGCUUAGUUUAUGGUUGCAGUGACUCAUUUGGGGUCAUUGAAUAACAAGUGUAUUUCAAAAAUCAUAUUUUGCAUUUCAGAAUUGAGUUUUAUUCAGGCUGUGCUCAUUGGCUUAGAGAUUCAGAUUUGUGAGCCAAAAAACAAGCAGUUUCACAGCGAGUCUUAUCCCCUUUCACCACAAGAUGGAGACGGUAAAAAUACUCAUCUUGAGGCUUCAACACGGGACUUAACAAACCAGUACCUGGCAUUACAGUAGCUAGAUCCAUCGUUUAUACUAUCGAUCACCGGCUUCCACCUGUCAGUCAAAAAUUAGCAAAAGGGUCCAAAAGUGUUUUUGUCCCAAGGUAUAAACACGUUAAUUUCUUCUGUACAGUUGGGCAUUGUCAAUAGGUAUUGACUUCCUUUAGUAGACUUCAACAUGAAGGACGUUAUACAGAUGUCAAUAAUUCAACAUGUAAAGUAGAACUUGCCAAAUAGGAAAUGCUGCUGCUUGAUGAAAUGUCAAAUCUAUAGGAUUCAUCCUAAAGGGAACCAUGAAUUUUGCACUAGACAGUUUGCACGUUUGACAGUCAAUACUCACUUUAGAAAAUAGUGAAUCAGGCCCCGGUCACUCAGGUCUAGAGACCAGUCAGUGACCAUCUGGCAACCUACAGUUGGAAAGCAAAAAAUAGCAUAUCCAGACUGGUUGCUUGAACUUUACAGCAGUCGCUGGGAAAUUGAUUGCUAAAGUCCCCAGUAACGCAGGCCUACAGACCAACAGUCGCUAGAAAACAGUGAGUAUUCCCCAGCUGUUUGGCAAAAGCUUGUGACUGCUCUGGCCCCUAGCACAUUACGGCAGUCAUAGUUUGAAUGGAAGUGAUGGACUUACAAACAUUGGCCAGCUGCUCUCCAACCUGUAGCAGAAGUGUGAAAAAAAAUGCAUCAAAAACCUUAAAUGAAGACCAUCUGCCUUCAAAGUAAAAGUUGGCAGACCUUCUCCAUUUUCAGUUUGCAUCUCGCUUUUUUGAGUUUUCCUACCGCUCAGGCUAAUAGUUAGCCAGUAUGUGCAUGUGAAAAACUCCAGGUGACCGUGGCUAUCACUGGGAGGUUUUUGGUGCAGCACCUUCUUUGCAACCAAUAUUGCCCAGCAAUAGCCAGCAACCUCCAGGAACCACUGCCAACCAGCCAGGGAAUACACAUUUUUCAUGACUGGAAAAGUCAGAAAAGAUUAGACAAUGAAACAAGUCUGUACAGCAGAAAAGGGACUAACUGGUCUAAAACACAUCGGAAAACACAAACACCAAAAAUGACUUCCUCGCUGUUGCAGGGAGUGUAAAAAGGGUUGUUGCACUACCAAAGGAUCUUAUGUGGGAAAAAAGACUCCUGCGAACAACCUUUUUGCAAGUUGUCCACAGAGGAAAUUGGCAGGGUGAAGGUGCAAGCGGGAAAAGGGUGUCUGCCUGUUUGCAGCAUUGUUAGUGGCUCUGCUUCUAUGUAAAAUGAGUGUGUUCAAGUGUAUUACCUCUAAUUUUCAAGGACUUUGUGUUGGAACAUUAUGUUAAAAAAAGGAAAAGUGUUUUGUUUUUUGUUUUUUUUAAUUAUUGAUGUGUGACUGUGUCAUUACAAACUGUAUCCACAUCCUCACCUGCAUUACAUCCGCAGCAGUCUGAAGCAGCUUGAAGUCGUUUCCCCUCCUCAUCAUUUCCUAUCUCGGCUGAACAGUGGCUCCAGUUUUGGCUCCAGACGGAGCUGCAGAGCCACAGGGCACCCAGCGGUUGCUCAGUAGUCAGUGUAGAUCCUGUGGGGCUGGCAGCAGCUACAUCUGGCUACUGGGUCUCUGCUGACAGCCGCCUUAUUCUGAAUACAAUCUUUGAUUAGGUGAUUUUUAAUAUAUUUUGCUCUUCUUUUUUUUUUUUUUUUCUUUUCACUGACAUUUGAAAUUCCUCAUCAGCAGGAUUAGUGUAUUAUUUCCUGUUUGAGUUUUCUGUGUAGCUUACACCCUUUUCCUGUGAUCUCCUCUACUACGCACCUUUUAAAUUUCUAAGAAGUGUCUUGAAUAACCACCCACUGGGUGGAGAAAAGCCUCAGGCGGAGUUGAUCCGAUGCCAUGCGGGGACUGUGGAGUUUGUUUCUCGAAUAAAAAUAAGAGAAAUUCUGACAACCUGGGUAAGUUCUGAACCUGGCAUACAGUGUAGGAAUCUGUGUGUGUCAGUCUACAGCUACAUUGUCUGCUGGGUUUCAGGACUCCACCCGACACCUGCAUUGUUUCAUGUAUUUUUACUCCUACUGAAUGUAUACAAAUGCGCUUUGUAUGUUCCAGGAAGCCAAAAAACCCCCAACAAAACAACAAUAACAAAAAAAAACAAGAAAACUGCAGAUAAUUUGUCAACUUUGUGUUUAUUGACUCAUCAUAAAACAUUCUUCAAACAAUAAAACAAUUUUAAAUGUCCGUUUCUGUACAACGCUUGCUAAGCAAUUUAUUUAUAUAUAUAUAUAUUUAUAUUUAUAUAUAUAUAAAAUGUAAAAGGAGUCGUGUUAAAAUGACAAAACUCCUUCAAAUUUAAUGGCAGGUACUCU